UACGGAGGGAGCUAGCGUUGUUCGGAAUUACUGGGCGUAAAGCGCACGUAGGCGGCUUUGUAAGUUAGAGGUGAAAGCCCGGGGCUCAACUCCGGAACUGCCUUUAAGACUGCAUCGCUUGAAUCCAGGAGAGGUGAGUGGAAUUCCGAGUGUAGAGGUGAAAUUCGUAGAUAUUCGGAAGAACACCAGUGGCGAAGGCGACUCACUGGCCCGAUACUGACGCUGAGGCGCGAAAGCGCGGGGAGCAAACAGG
rnacentral:rRNA from 1 species